rnacentral:misc_RNA from 1 species
GAAAUGCGAUAAGUAAUGUGAAUUGCAGAAUUCAGUGAAUCAUCGAAUCUUUGAACGCACAUUGCGCCCCUUGGUAUUCCGAGGGGCAUGCCUGUUCGAGCGUCAUUAUAACCACUCAAGCCUCGGCUUGGUCUUGGAUCGCACCGGUAACACGGUCGAUCUUAAAAUCAGUGGCGGUGCCAUCGUGCUCUAAGCGUAGUAAUACUCCUCGCUACAGAGUUCUCGGUGUGUGCUUGCCAGCAACCCCCAACUUUCUAAGUUUGACCUCGGAUCAGGUAGGGAUACCCGCUGAACUUAA